ensembl:lncRNA
AAUAUAUUUUUUAUACCAUUACCAGACCACUAUGCGCCUUACAAUGCUACAGCUAUUUAUUUAACGAGACAGAAAAACGUAUGACAGGGCCAAUCGUAAGGGAAAGAAUUGCUCGAACUGGUCUGGGAUCGAGAUCUGACCGACGGACGCGGGCGUUUCAGAGCAGAUGAAGCUUUCCACAGGAACCUGGUCACAUGCUGCGGGAUUAAUCUCAAAUAGACUCCGAUUCUUAAGAAUUUGCCGCACUGUAUAAUCACUCAUGGUUCCUGGAAGCUGUGGGGUGCCAUGCCGUAAUUCCGACGCCUCGUUGUUCCGAGGUCUCAAUGGUCCGAAAUAUUUCCCAUGAGAUCGACAUGCCACUAUGUCGGGUUACGGACCCGUCACCUCCUUGCGGACCCUCCCUAGAGGGUGAAGGAAACGUUGAGCAGCGCCAGACUGUUGAGUCACUGUGAGAGAAAAGGUGUAGGCCUAUAAGAUGGCUGUGAGGGACACGUUUGCAGACUUUUACGGUUGGCCUCCUGUGAGACGUCACAUCUCCUCUUUUCAAGCAAAAGCACAAGACAUUAAAAGCAAAUCGAAAAAAUGCAGAGGCCCGGCAGACUGGAGGGGGUCCACCACCUGCAGCCCUCACAGAGGCUGAGGAGAUGGCCCUCAGCCAACAGAGUAUGCGUCCUGUGGCUGAGGGCAUCCCUGGGGGGAGCUCCUCUGAUCCCCCCAACCCCCCAGGAUAGAAGUGCCUUUACAGUAUAAGAGUUACUGAUGGCGUCAUCGCCCUACUUGAACCAGAUGCCCUCACCAACCUCCAUGCAAUUGUAACAAUUCAAAAGAUGCAAAAGGAUGCUUUGGAGAUCCAAAUUUUGGAACAUAAGUUAUAGGUGGGUGAGGUGCAAACUGGGAUAGGCUACUGUUCCCUGCUCUAAAAACAUACCCAAUAUAACAAUUUUUUUUGUGCUUUCAGGAAAUAAAAAAAUCCUCAUAAUAAGUAGAUUGUCUUUAUUAGAACACGGGCUGUGGUGGGACAAGUUAUUUUGUUGAACAGUUUACUCAAAGGGUUUUACUUCAGUGAACAAUGCAGACGAUUAUGCUGAGCAUGUGCAUGUAGAGAAGAACAGCAUCUGGUUAAAAGCAGUACCAGGGUCUUUUCUGCCUUGCAUUCUUAAAAUGAGUUUCUUGACUUGCAGCAGUUAUAGGUCCGUGGUUAGUCAGCUACUCUGAUCAUGGGAAAGCCACAACGUUGAAGUGACUGUAGUACAGAGCGGGUGGGAUG